GCGUCAGUGGUGUAACGGAUAGAGCACGAGCUUUCGGAUAGAAUGAGAUGUGGGUUCGAGUCCCGUCUGAAGCG